rnacentral:rRNA from 1 species
UACGUAGGGGGCAAGCGUUAUCCGGAUUUACUGGGUGUAAAGGGAGCGUAGGCGGCUUAGUAAGUCAGAAGUGAAAGCCCGCAGCUCAACUGCGGGACUGCUUUUGAAACUGCCAAGCUAGAGUGUCGGAGAGGUAAGUGGAAUUCCUAGUGUAGCGGUGAAAUGCAUAGAUAUCACACAGAACACCGAUUGCGAAGGCAUCUCACGAAUCCGCGAUUGACGCUGAUGCACGAAAGCGUGGGUAUCAAACAGG